GUGCUCACUUCAGCGGCACAUACACUAAAAUUGGAACAAUACUGAGAAGAUUAGCAUGUCCCUGCGCAAGGAUGACACGCAAGUUUGUGAAGCAUUCCAUAUUUAA